AUUGAACGCUGGCGGCAGGCCUAACACAUGCCAGUCGAGCGGAUGAAGGGAGCUUGCUCCUGGAUUCAGCGGCGGACGGGUGAGUAAUGCCUAGGAAUCUGCCUGGUAGUGGGGGAUAACGUCCGUAAACGGGCGCUAAUACCGCAUACGUCCUGAGGGAGAAAGUGGGGGAUCUUCGGACCUCACGCUAUCAGAUGAGCCUAGGUCGGAUUAGCUAGUUGGUGGGGUAAAGGCCUACCAAGGCGACGAUCCGUAACUGGUCUGAGAGGAUGAUCAGUCACACUGGAACUGAGACACGGUCCAGACUCCUACGGGAGGCAGCAGUGGGGAAUAUUGGACAAUGGGCGAAAGCCUGAUCCAGCCAUGCCGCGUGUGUGAAGAAGGUCUUCGGAUUGUAAAGCACUUUAAGUUGGGAGGAAGGGCAGUAAGUUAAUACCUUGCUGUUUUGACGUUACCAACAGAAUAAGCACCGGCUAACUUCGUG
rnacentral:rRNA from 1 species